rnacentral:rRNA from 1 species
UACGAAGGGUGCAAGCGUUACUCGGAAUUACUGGGCGUAAAGCGUGCGUAGGUGGUUUGUUAAGUCUGUUGUGAAAGCCCCGGGCUCAACCUGGGAAUGGCAAUGGAUACUGGCAAGCUAGAGUGCGGUAGAGGGUAGUGGAAUUCCCGGUGUAGCGGUGAAAUGCGUAGAGAUCGGGAGGAACACCUGUGGCGAAAGCGGCGCACUGGACCAUAACUGACGCUGAGGCGCGAAAGCUAGGGGAGCAAACAGG